GGGGGUUGUAUAAAUAGGGAAGGGGGGACUUGCAUCCUCGGCUGGGUGAGGUGGGGGGGGGGCGCUCGGCACAAAGAAAGUGGAAAGUUUGCAGUGCGGGGCGGCCCGGGCCAGGGAUCCGGGUGCGCACGUGCAGGGCCGGGGGCGCCGGGAGGCCCCCACACCAAGCGUGCCGUUUCUUUUUUUUUUUUUUCCUGCAAGCGAGAGGGGGGGUGUUGUUGGUAUCGCCCCCUCCUUCUCCUCCCCCCAGGGGUGAAAGUGCAAGAGGAAGUGCAGCCGCUGCCAUCUUUCCUCCGCUCCGAACACACGGAGCCCGAGGCCGCAGCGCCGCCGCUCCGCUGCUGCCUUCGCCCGGCCCCGGGAAGGGCCCACUCUGCCGCUGUCGACGCCCGCCCGCUCCAGCUUUCGCCGCCUCCACCGCCCGCCAGGCUCCGGGAUUCGACCCGCGCUGCUGCCCCACUGCGCGCCCCGCCGCCGCCGCCGCCUUCGCCUUUUGUUUCCUCCGCUCCGGCGCCCCCGCCCCGGCUCGCGCUUUGCAGGGGACGCAGCGCGCGCCCCCAGCGGGCCCGGGAGAAGCCGCGGCGCGCGCGCGCGCGCCUGCGCGGCUGACCCCUCCUACUCCGCCCGCGCGCGCUCGUUCUUCUUGGCUGCGCGCCGGCGCCGCCUGGCGGGCGGGAGAGGAGGUGGCAGGCGCGUUUGCUGGAGGGGCGCACCUCUUUGCUCUGAUACCCCCCGGAGGUAGACCGAGAAGGAGAGGCGGGCGGGCGGAAAGGAGAGAGGAGCGCGCGAUCCAGCAGGGGUAGGGGCCGCUAUGCGGGGGGUGGUGCGCCCUGCAGUCUAGACAGUCCGAUCCGGGCAGGGGGCGUGUGCGCUCGGCGCACCUGCGAGACUACAGAGCCCCGGGUCGGCACGUGUGGGGAGUGUAGACACGUCCUCUGCGCCCCUCUUGUUGCUGCCUAGGGGAACGGAGGGGGGCGGGCAAGUGCCGCGGCCCGGUUUGUGGGGAGGGGGCGGCGGCCAUGGAGCGGGUGAACGACGCUUCCUGCGGCCCGUCGGGCUGCUACACCUACCAGGUGAGCAGGCACAGCACUGAGAUGCUGCACAACCUGAACCAGCAGCGCAAAAACGGCGGGCGCUUCUGCGACGUGCUCCUGCGGGUGGGUGACGAGAGCUUCCCAGCACACCGCGCCGUGCUGGCCGCCUGCAGCGAGUACUUUGAGUCGGUGUUCAGCGCCCAGUUGGGCGACGGCGGAGCUGCGGACGGGGGUCCCGCUGACGUGGGUGGCGCGGCGGCGGCUCCGGGCGGCGGGGCUGGGGGCAGCCGGGAGCUGGAGAUGCAUACUAUCAGCUCUAAGGUGUUCGGGGACAUCCUGGACUUCGCCUAUACUUCUCGCAUCGUGGUUCGCCUGGAGAGCUUCCCCGAGCUCAUGACGGCCGCCAAGUUCCUGCUGAUGAGGUCGGUCAUUGAGAUCUGCCAGGAGGUCAUCAAACAGUCCAAUGUGCAGAUCCUGGUGCCCCCUGCCCGAGCUGACAUCAUGCUCUUUCGUCCCCCUGGGACCUCGGACUUGGGUUUCCCUUUGGACAUGACCAACGGGGCAGCCUUGGCAGCCAACAGCAAUGGCAUUGCAGGCAGCAUGCAGCCUGAGGAGGAGGCAGCUCGGGCAGCUGGUGCAGCCAUUGCAAGCCAAGCUUCCUUGCCUGUGUUACCUGGGGUGGACCGCUUGCCCAUGGUGGCUGGACCCCUAUCCCCCCAACUGCUGACUUCCCCAUUCCCCAAUGUGGCAUCCAGUGCCCCUCCCCUGACUGGCAAGCGAGGCCGAGGCCGCCCAAGGAAGGCAAACCUGCUGGACUCAAUGUUCGGGUCCCCGGGGGGCCUGAGGGAAGCAGGCAUCCUUCCAUGUGGCCUCUGUGGGAAAGUGUUCACUGAUGCCAACCGGCUCCGGCAGCACGAGGCCCAGCAUGGUGUCACCAGCCUCCAGCUGGGCUACAUCGACCUUCCUCCUCCCAGGCUGGGUGAGAAUGGGCUACCCAUCUCUGAGGACCCCGAUGGCCCCCGAAAGAGGAGCCGGACCAGGAAGCAGGUGGCAUGUGAGAUCUGCGGCAAGAUCUUUCGUGACGUGUACCAUCUCAAUCGGCACAAGCUUUCCCACUCGGGGGAGAAGCCCUAUUCCUGCCCUGUGUGUGGGCUUCGGUUCAAGAGAAAAGAUCGCAUGUCCUACCAUGUGCGGUCCCACGACGGGUCUGUGGGCAAGCCCUACAUCUGCCAGAGCUGUGGGAAAGGCUUCUCCAGGCCUGAUCACUUGAAUGGACAUAUCAAGCAGGUGCACACUUCUGAGCGGCCUCACAAGUGUCAGACCUGUAAUGCUUCUUUUGCCACCCGAGACCGUCUGCGCUCCCACCUGGCCUGUCAUGAAGACAAGGUGCCCUGCCAGGUGUGUGGAAAGUACUUGCGGGCAGCGUACAUGGCAGACCACCUGAAGAAGCACAGCGAGGGGCCCAGCAACUUCUGCAGUAUCUGUAACCGAGGUUUCUCCUCUGCCUCCUACUUAAAGGUCCAUGUUAAAACCCACCACGGUGUUCCCCUUCCCCAGGUCUCCAGGCACCCGGAGCCCAUACCGAAUGGGGGAGCAGCGUUCCACUGCGCCAGGACCUAUGGCAACAAAGAAGGCCAGAAAUGCUCACAUCAGGAUCCGAUUGAGAGCUCCGACUCCUACGGUGACCUUUCGGACGCCAGCGACCUGAAGACGCCAGAGAAGCAGAGCACCAAUGGCUCCUUCUCCUGUGACAUGGCAGUCCCCAAAAACAAAAUGGAGUCUGACGGGGAGAAGAAGUACCCCUGUCCCGAAUGCGGGAGCUUCUUUCGCUCCAAGUCCUACUUGAACAAACACAUACAGAAGGUGCACGUCCGGGCUCUCGGGGGCCCCCUGGGGGACCUGGGCCCCGCCCUCGGCUCACCUUUUUCUCCCCAGCAGAACAUGUCUCUCCUUGAGUCCUUUGGGUUUCAGAUUGUUCAGUCGGCGUUUGCAUCAUCUUUAGUAGAUCCUGAGGUUGACCAGCAGCCCAUGGGGCCUGAGGGGAAGUGAGGCAGAUGCUGUGUCCCCACGGAAAUGGCCAUCCGGGGACUGCUGAGAAAUGCUGUGAAUGCGGAGAGAAGUAAUGUAUUUGGGUUCUGUAGCUGAGAGAUUUUUAUUCGUUUUUAACUCCCCCACCCCCAAACCUUUAUCACCUCAUCUCUCUCCACCACCCAUUCCCCCAGUGGUCUUUAGAAAUAGAUGCCCAUCCGAUGCUCUGCAGAAAUAUCUGUGAGACCCGUAUGGGACAAGGGCAGGAAACACUACAUAGGCAACACCAGUCCCAGUUUCUCUAACGGGCAGAAGCUGGAAUUCCUGGUGCUUAUUUCUUAGUGACCCCCAUCCCAGACCCACACCUGACAGCAUUCGGAGGCCUCAGUGACUUUGGUUCCCUCGUAUUUCUCUAAUCCCUAACUCCCCCUUCUCAUAUUCCUCAAAAGAAACCACAGUAGGGUCCCCACCCACUUAGACAACGCUGAUGCCCAACUGUCUUUAAGGAAGCUGGAAGCCUACAGCAUCCCAUGGACCAUGGGGUGAGUGUCCUCCGAGAGCCCCCUAAGUUUGACCCUUGACCUGGAGGGCCCCAGACCUUUCUGAACCCUGUUUGGAGGCUAGCAUUUGGCUACUAGGACAAGCUUAGCUACUGAGGACACUCCCACCCCAAAUUCCAAUUCUUAUGUGAUUUUAACCAUUCAACUUGCUGUUGGGUUUUAAUUCUCUAAUUAUUAUUAUUAUUGUUGUUAUUAUUUUUUAGGACCAGUUGUAGUGAAUUGCUACUGAAAGCUAUCCCAGGUGAUACAGAGCUCUUUGUAAACCGCAGUCACAAGUUAGGGUCAUGGGGAGAAAAGCUGUGCGGAACAUGGGCGUUCGAAGGCCGAAUGACUUCUCUUGCCAUGGUCGAGGGUAAAGAGCCUGCACUUUGACUGUCCAGCUCCAUCCUUGGCAAAUCUCUGAGCCUGUUUCUUCAUCAGUAAAAUGGGCUGUGAAGACAGGGAGACCAUCCUCAGGAGCUAACAUUCUCUGCCUAAUCCUCAGCACACCCUGUGAGCUCUCAGCGACAGAUAGUGACAUGUAAAUGCCCAGAACCGUGCUUGGCACAGAGGAAACUGGAUGCCCUGCCAGGUCCCCCGGAUAAGGGCCUGCACGGCACAGCAGAAAAAGCCACUGAGGAAGUCAGGGUCCGUGCCAGAGGGAGUGCCCAGAGACCAAGUGUGAGUAAGCACACUCUUGGUACUUAGAUUGACACUCGGGGGUGAUGUGCACCACACCUCACUCUCAGUACAGACCGUCAGUUCCCUUCACCACCUCCCCUUCCCCCAUGGAACAGCCUCCACCUGGAGGCUCUUCCUCCCCAGCGCUGAGCACGUGACUCACCCUUUUCAUGGCCUUUGCUGCUAUUCUCCUCAACCAUCCUUAGCACUGCAUCCGCCCCUUCCCCGGAUCAUAGUCACUGUGCCCUGGCUCAUGGUGGUCUCCGGGAGAGUGCCAGGGGCAGAUCCUAGUGCCCCCACUUUCUAGCUGGGUGACCUCGGGCAGGUGUUUCUCUGUUCCCUCAUGUGAGACACGAGGAUGACCUUUCUUAUUCACAUGGCUACUGUGAGGAUUACGUGGGCUGAUACCUGUAAAGCACAUUUGGAAACACUCAAAAAGCUCCCUUUUAGUUUACCUCCUUCACCAGACUACACCCUCACAGUAAUGAACGAGAGCAGGAAUGAGCGAACUUUUUAUGUAAAGAGCCAGAGGGUAGACAUUCUCAGCUUUGUGAGCCAUAUGGUCUCUGUCACAGCCACUCAGCUCUGCCGUUAUACAAGAGCAGCCAGGC